UGGUGCUUCUAACUAUGACCAUAUAGUUUUGUGUAAGUACACAUUUGAGGUUUCAAGAUAAUUAAACAUAAUCAGUUGCUUCAUCAGUUUUUCUUUUUCCCCACAUGGGUUUUGGCCAGUAUUAAUGCUAAUGGCUAUUUUUCAAUCAGCUUACUGCUUAGGCUACAGCUAUAAAACAUUUAAUUUUGUUACUUUUUUCUCAAAGAAAGUAGGCUUAUUUACUUUAGAUUUUGGCUUGUAAGAAAACUCGUGGAAGAAUUAUAAGAGAUCCUAUAUUACCUAGCCAAAUUAAUGGAGUCUACAGGAAAUUAGAUUAAGUAAAAAUGGGGGAUUUCAAGCAUUGUCUGGAAAUCAAAGGCAUAAAUUCCUAGUCAUGUUAGCAAACCUAGUGUAUUUUUUAAAAUGGUAUAAUACUAUUAAUUAGCUAGAUUUUGUCAUUCUACAAUGUAUAUGUAUUUCAAAAUAUCAUGUUGUAGCCAGGUGUGGUGGCUCAUGCCUAUAAUCCCAAUACUUUAGGAGCCUGCGGUGUGAGGACUGCUUGAGGCCAGGAGUUCCAGACCCACCUGGGCAACAUAGUGAGAUCCUAUCUUUACAAAAAAAAAUUUAAAAAUAAGCCAGGUAAGGUGGUGCACCCCUGUAGUCCUGACUAAUCAGGAGGGUAAGGCAGGAGGAUUACUUGAGCCCAGGAGUUCGAGGUUGCAAUGAGCUAUAACUGAGCCACUGCACUACACCAAGACAACGUCUCUUAAAAAAAAAAAAA
rnacentral:lncRNA from 10 species